AUGAAGUGGGCUAAGCCUUACUUCAUGGAUGCUUUUUGCGCCAAGAUGACCAGCACGCAACAGAGUGAAAUUGCAAACCAUUUGCAGAAAGGAUAUGUGCCACCAGGAUCCUUGGUGCACCUUUUCAUCAGGCAAUAUGAGAAGAUGCAAUUUGACAGAGAUUCAGAGGAGAGUUAUCGAGAGAAGAGAACCAAACUGGGUGGUGUUUUGCUUGCUCAGAACCUACCUAUUGAGAUACAUGCAUCAAAAAUUUAUACGAAGGACAUGUUUGAAAAUUUUGGCGAGAUGCUAUAUGAAUGUGGGUCAUAUGUUCUGAUCGAAGUUGUGCCUCGUCGUGAAUACAUAGCGAGGCAUGUAAAGAAAGAUUCAAGGGACAAAUGGUGUAAAAAUGAAUUCCGCGUCCAGGUCAACAAGCUUGCUGACGAAUUCAAGUGUGAAUGUGGAAUGUUUGAACAUUUUGGCAUGGUGUGCAGCCAUGCACUGAAGGUAAUGAUACAGCUUGGUCUGCAGGAGGUUCCAGCCGGGCAAAUACUGAAGCGUUGGACAAGGGAUGCAAGACUCGGUGACAACAAUGCGGAUGCAUAUGCUCUUGCGAUGGAUCAACUAAGAAAUAUGAAAACAUUGCUUUGCGGCGCCAUCAAAGAAGAGACUAGCGGGGUGCCCUACGAUAAGCCACAAUAA
rnacentral:rRNA from 1 species